CUAUACAGUUUACUGUCUUUC
rnacentral:miRNA from 14 species